CAUGACUGAUUCUCCUCGAUCAGUGCCCACACCCAUUCGUGCACGUGUUUAUAAUCUCGACAGAAGAUGAGAUCAUACGCCACGAGAAUAUUGGCCACCCUCAAAUAAUCCUCGGCACUAUCGCCCAUAUUGCGGUUAACGAACCGCUUGCGCAGAUCCUUCACUUCCACCUUCUUGCCUUUAAAAACUCGGUGCCAUAGACUCUGCUUCCCAACACGGUGAUCCACAUUAGGAUCAAAACGCUGCGGGGAUGGCCCGAAGCACAACCCCGUCACCAGACAAUACUCCAAUGCGCCGAAUCGAAUGUCGUGUCCACCAACGUGGAACCACUUCUCCCACGGACCGAAUUCUUGGUCAUACAACUCCCGUGCAAGAAGAUGGUGCAGUGCGGCAUUCGCACUAUCCUGCC
rnacentral:lncRNA from 1 species